AGGAUUCCCCUAGUAACUGCGAGUGAAGCGGGAAAAGCUCAAAUUUAAAAUCUGGCGCAAGCCCGAGUUGUAACCUAGAGAAGUGUUUUCGGCCAUUGACUUGGACAAGUCCCUUGGAACAGGGCGUCAUAGAGGGUGAGAAUCCCGUACUUGCCAAGCUCCCAAUGUCUAUGUGAUACGCUCUCGAAGAGUCGAGUUGUUUGGGAAUGCAGCUCAAAAUGGGUGGUAAAUUCCAUCUAAAGCUAAAUAUUGGCGAGAGACCGAUAGCGAACAAGUACCGUGAGGGAAAGAUGAAAAGCACUUUGGAAAGAGAGUUAAACAGUACGUGAAAUUGUUAAAAGGGAAGCGCUUGAAGUCAGUCGCGUCUUCAGGGACUCAGCCUUAACCGGUGCAUUUCCUUGUCGACGGGCCAACAUCGAUUUUGACCGUGGAAAAAAGACUUGGGGAAGGUGGCAGCCUCGGCUGUGUUAUAGCCUCUUGUCAUACGCCACGGUUGGGAUCGAGGACUGCGGCUUUUGCCUAGGAUGUUGGCGUAAUGGCUUUAAGCGACCCGUCUUGAAACACGGACCAAGGAGUCUAACAUGUCUGCGAGUUUUUGGGUGUUAAACCCAUGAGCGCAAUGAAAGUAAAUGUAGGUGGGAAGCCUCGGCUGCACCAUCGACCGAUCCGGAUCUCUUGUGAUGGAUUUGAGUAAGAGCAUAUAUGUUGGGACCCGAAAGAUGGUGAACUAUGCCUGAAUAGGGCGAAGCCAGAGGAAACUCUGGUGGAGGCUCGUAGCGAUUCUGACGUGCAAAUCGAUCGUCAAAUUUGGGUAUAGGGGCGAAAGACUAAUCGAA
rnacentral:rRNA from 1 species